AGGGUGUAAACGCUGCAGACUUGGUGUUGGAAGCCCUUUGGGGGCAUUCAGUGCCGGAGAGAAGUUGUUAAGUCUGCUACUUGGGGAGUACGUCCGCAAGGAUGAAACUUAAAGGAAUUGGCGGGGGAGCACCGCAACGGGAGGAGCGUGCGGUUUAAUUGGAUUCAACACCGUAAACUCACCAGGGAAGACUGUUACAUGAAGGCCGAGAUGAAGACCUUACCUGAAUCGCUGAGAGGUGGUGCAUGGCGUAGACGUCU
rnacentral:rRNA from 1 species